rnacentral:lncRNA from 1 species
ACCGUUUCUCUCUCCGUGGGCUCUCCACCGCAAAACAUCUCGAUGGUUCUUGACACAGGAAGCGAGCUUUCAUGGCUUCACUGCAAGAAAGCUCCCAACUUAGGAUCCGUGUUUAACCCGGUUUCGUCCUCUUCUUACUCGCCUAUACCUUGCUCCUCGCCUAUUUGCAGGACCCGGACCCGGGACUUGCCCAUACCCGCUUCAUGCGACUCGAAGACCCAUCUUUGCCACGUGGCAGUCUCCUACGCCGACGCUACCUCACUAGAAGGCAGCUUAGCUCACGAGACAUUCGUAAUCGGAUCCUCAGCCCGACCCGGAACUAUAUUCGGGUGCAUGGACUCGGGUUUAAGCUCUGAUUCGGAGGAGGACGCUAAAACAACCGGUUUAAUGGGAAUGAACCGGGGCUCUUUAUCGUUUGUUAACCAGCUGGGUUUCUCAAAAUUCUCUUAUUGCAUAUCCGGUUCAGACUCCUCCGGUAUUCUGCUUCUUGGUGACGCGAGUUCCUCGUGGCCCGGUCCUAUCCAGUACACGCCUUUGGUUAGUGAAACGACGCCGUUACCGUAUUUCGACCGGGUCGCUUACACGGUCCAGUUAGAAGGAAUUCGGGUCGGGUCAAAGUUGCUGUCUCUACCUAAAUCUAUGUUCGUACCGGACCAUACCGGGGCAGGUCAGACGAUGGUGGAUUCCGGUACACAAUUCACGUUCCUGAUGGGUCCGGUUUACUCCGCCUUGAAAACCGAGUUUAUGGCGCAAACCAAGGCGGUUCUCAAAGUUGUAGAAGAUCCAAAUUUUGUGUUCCAAGGGACAAUGGACCUCUGUUACCGGGUUCUAAAACUAUUGUUUAGACGUUAAAGUUUUUCACCUAAAAUUCAAAGUUUUUUUCUUUUUGGCUCGGAAUGAUUAGACUAAACCGAAACGAACCGGGAAAGCGUAGUCAAGAGAGAAUAAAACACACAAUAUUGUAUUUAAAGAUGGCAAAGCACGUAACAAACUUAGUAAAGACAUGAUGGCUUCAUCAUCAUCAUCAUCAUCUCUUUCAAAUUUAUCGCUUCAAAUUUCAAUUUUGCUUCUUAUUUUUCCUCUCACGUUCUGCAAGAUAUCUUCUCCAAAUCAAGAACCACUAGUCUUCUCUCUCAAAACCAAGAAUGUUCCACAGUCUUCUUCAGACAAGCUUUCUUUCAGACAUAACGUCACUCUCACCGUUUCUCUCUCCGUGGGCUCUCCACCGCAAAACAUCUCGAUGGUUCUUGACACAGGAAGCGAGCUUUCAUGGCUUCACUGCAAGAAAGCUCCCAACUUAGGAUCCGUGUUUAACCCGGUUUCGUCCUCUUCUUACUCGCCUAUACCUUGCUCCUCGCCUAUUUGCAGGACCCGGACCCGGGACUUGCCCAUACCCGCUUCAUGCGACUCGAAGACCCAUCUUUGCCACGUGGCAGUCUCCUACGCCGACGCUACCUCACUAGAAGGCAGCUUAGCUCACGAGACAUUCGUAAUCGGAUCCUCAGCCCGACCCGGAACUAUAUUCGGGUGCAUGGACUCGGGUUUAAGCUCUGAUUCGGAGGAGGACGCUAAAACAACCGGUUUAAUGGGAAUGAACCGGGGC